rnacentral:lncRNA from 1 species
GAUAACUCUACAGUUGCCUGUCCUUGAGACCAUAGAGAAAUAACAAGCUCAAGGGAGACCAUGGAAAAAAGUAAAAGCUGUGAUUUCAGGCUGAGGUCCGCCUCCAAGGGUCUGAUCUGUGUCAGCUAAAACCAGAGCUGGUGUUGAACAACUACAUCCAUUAACUAGCUUCCUCCUUUGCCUCCCUUUCUCCAUCCUUUGGAGAUCUAAUGGCACAGUUCCAGCUGUGAGAUGUGGCACCCUUGCGCUUCCUUGUUACAAGCUUGGAGAGACACCAUCAGGAUGCCAAGCAGAGCAACGCUGAAGGGAGCAAUGAGAUCCAGAAACACAAACCUGUGGGAAUUGAUUUAACUUCAUAGACAUUCUGUUAAAGACUU